AGCAUCCUAGCAACAUGGAGCCACCACAUUGUGACAGACGACAGACAGGUGGUGUGGUUCCUUGACCAGGAAACGAACUGGGGCCGCAGUGGUGAGAGCGCUGAAGAAUCUUAACCGAUAGACCACUAUAACAAACAUCAGCUGGGCUCCUGUGUCUUCUGGCUUAUGGAUGGGUUCGGUCAAUGGGAGGCACUGGCAGGUGGCUGGAGGGCAAGCGGAAGGAAGAAGCUGGAGUAUUUCUCUGCCCUACCUUCUCGGCUUUGAGUACAGGCAGUCUCACCAUUCCUGGCAUCCAUAAGGAUCAGCGAGAGCCGGUGAUGAUGACAGUGGGCUACCACCACCGCUACAACCCAACAACUUCAAUUCUACUCACAAGCUCUAUCAAGGAAUGGUCUCUACUGCUCUCCUAAGUUCAGAACCAGUCCUAGUGGUAACCCUGGCAGGCAUAUGAGAAGAGGAAGCAACUACCUGAAUCAGCUGACCGACUUAUUUACACCAACCAGCAACUGGGUCAGUGGGAGCAACAACAGAUGAUUCUCCCCUCGCUGCACAAUGGAAUCACCUAGAAAGCUUUAAAAACUACUGACACCUGAGUUCCACUCCCAGGGACUUUCAUUUUAAUUGGUCUGGGAUACAACCUGGACAUUGGGACUUUCUUAACUUUCUUGGGUUAUGCUAAUAUGAAGCCUAGAUUAAGAACCAUUGCUUUUGUACCUUUAUGCACCUCACAACAAACAGACUGCACUCAAGUUAGCAAGUGGGCUUUUAUGGCUAUUUAGAAUGGCCAGAGAAUACCUUCCUUUUAUCAGAGGAUGAGUAAAAACUACUGCACAUGUCAAUACUUUUACAAGCAAUGUACUCUUAGCGGUCAACAGUUUAUAUAAAAAUGUCCAGAUAUCAGUGCCCGAUGCUGUGGUUUUUGACUUUUCAGACAGAAAUGAACUGCCUACAUUCUAGUUCAUGGUAACAGUCAGACUCUAGUCAGGGAAAUGGACCCAUGAUAUAGCAAAAGGAAUUUAAUGUGGACAUUAGUUUAAAAGUGUUGGAAGAGCUGAAAGGCAAAACAAGUUUGGCAGGCAACCCAGAGAUGGGACAAAAAGAGGCUCCAUACUACCCAUAGAACUGGAGGGAAAAAGGGCCCUGAACUGCUAUGUAAGAAGCCCAGGAGACCAUAUGGAAGAGUACUGAGGUAUUGGACACAUAGGUGAAGAAACCAUUUUGGCCUUUCAGCCCACUCAAGCCUUCAAUGACUCCAGAUCCAGCCAAGAUCUGACUGCAAGUGGAUAAGAAACAUCAAGCAAG
ensembl:lncRNA